UGCUGCACCAUGGUUACUUUUUAUGUACAUAUUACAAUGCAUGUGCUUAGUUAUCAUCAAUGAUAACCAAUGAACAUAUAUCUGUAUUACAGUAAAUGUAUUGAGUCAAGAGCUUUUAAUAAUUAAAGAUAAAUCUAUGUACACACAUUUCUACAUGUGUAUUACAAUUCAUGCGCUGAGUCAUUGCUAUCAUGAAAUGAUAACUCUAUAUACAUACAUAUGUAUAACAAUGCUGAAUCAAAGCUUCAAGAUAUGAUUACUUUAUGUACAUAUAAUAAUUCACAGCUACAAAUAACAUUAUUUUAAUGCAUUUUUUAAGCCAUAUAAUCUAUAAAUGAUUAUUUUAUGUACUUUACAUUCAUAACUAUCCAUGUUUAUAUUACAAUUUUUGUGUCAUAUUAUGAAUAAAAGAUAUUCUUUUGAGAAUUUAUCAAAACUAUCGAGCAGAAAGUUUGGACAAGAUAAUUAUUUUGUUUAAAUAUCAAGUAAGAUUAAUCAAAAUGUCACAUGAAUGAUUUCUCAUUUAUAAGGGCUGUUUCAAAAAUAAAUUUGUUUGGGUUGGGCACUUAUUGUUUAACCCUACCAUGCAUUAUAUGAUUAAGUUUAAAUAAAUACUCAAAUUAUUGUUCAGGCUAUCUUUCUAAAAUAACCAGUGCCCAUCAAAUUUAAACAGAAAUGCCUUUUGACCAUAUCCCAUCCCCAUACCAAUCAAUUCUGGAACAGCCCUAAGUAAAAUAUGACUUUUCUGUGUUCUUAAUAACACAGUUACACUUAUAAAUUAUUUAUACAAAGCAUUAAUGGUUUCUGUAACAUACUUCUUUCUUUAAAUUCAAAUUUACAAACUACUUAAAUAAAUACAUUCAUAAAGUCAACAACGUAUAUCCUUACAUUAAGAUAAAACAUUGCAAUUGGGUCAAGUGUUUCAUUCAAUUCACAGGAAUUAAUUUAGUAAAUUCAGAUUUGAAGCCUUAAGUAAUAUUUGCUUCUUAUGGAUUUAAUACAAAUUAGUAGAGUAGUCAGAGAUCAAUAACUUAAUACCACAUCUUUAACAAAACUAUUAAUUCAAAAUUAGUGAUCCCUAUUACACUUUUAAUUUAAUUAAGACUUCAUAAUCAAUCAAUUAUACCAUUUACAUUAUCAAUUAAGACUUGGUGAUCUACUACUUGUAUCUAUUACACUUCAAUUAAGACAGGAUGAACAAAAUUUUAAAUCCCACUAUACUUUCAGUUAAUAUUUAAUGAUGAAUCAUAUAAAUCCAUAACACAUUCUAUUAAGACUAGGUGAACAUUCACUUUUACCUAUUACUCUAUCUAUUAAGAUGGAACAUGUACAAUCACUUAUACCUAAAGGCUAUUACAUUAUCAAUUAAGACUGGGUGAACAAUCACUAAUAAACGUAACUCUAUCAAUAUACUAAGAUUGAGUGAACAUGCACAAUCACUUAUACCUAUAACACUAUCAAUUACAGUGACUUGACUGUUAGUGUUGCUAUUCACCAAUUGCAACUCAUUCAAAAUUUUGACCCAAUUGCAAUUUGUUUUAUUAAAUCAAAUUGUUCAACUGGUCAAAAAUUUGAACAAACUGUUCAGCCAAAAUGUGAAAGUGCAAAGUGAUAAAAUAAAUCAUACUUACAAUCCUAUAAGUCUGCAACUCCACUGUAUUGAUGUAUUUCCUAAAUCAGUCUAUCAAUCUGUAUAGUUAUUAUUAUGCCAUUACCAUACUAAAGGUGAAUUGUUUUAUUUUGAAUUGCUAUAAAAAUGUCAAAACUAAGCUUUUAUAGAGUUUUUCUUUCGAAAAGUAUUCUAUAUUUAUAAGAAUCACACACUAUGUGAAUAAAAACAUUUCAUAUUCAGUAAAAUAUUUGAAAUUGCAAUAUGUUUGUAGGAAGGGGAGAUAAUCGCUUUUUGGUUUCAAAAAGUCUUUAUUCAAAAGAAUAGUAUUUUAGGUUAUCUCCCCAAGGAAGCAUAUUGUUAUUUCAUACAUAUUUACUGAAUAUAAAUGUUUUAUUCACAUAAUGUGUGAUACUUAUAAAUAUAGAAUACUUUUCGAAAGAAAAACUCUAUAAAAGCUUAGUUUUGACAUUUUUAUAGCAAUUCAAAAUAAAACAGUUCACCUUUAGUAUGUAAUGGCUUAAUAUAACUAUACAGAUUGAUAGACUGAUUUAGGAAUUACAUCAAUACAGUGGAGUUACAGACUUAUAGGAUUGUAAGUAUGAUUUAUUUUAUCACUUUGCACUUUCACAUUUUGGCUGAACAGUUUGUUCAAAUUUUUGACCUGUUGAACAAUUUGAUUUAAUAAAACAAAUUGCAAUUGGGUCAAAAUUUUGAAUGAGUUGCAAUUGGUGAAUAGCAACACUAACAGUCAAGUCACUGUAAGACAGUAGACAAUCAUUUAUACCCAUUUCACUAU
rnacentral:lncRNA from 1 species